UACGUAGGGGGCUAGCGUUAUCCGGAAUUACUGGGCGUAAAGGGUGCGUAGGUGGUUUCUUAGGUCAGAGGUGAAAGGCUACGGCUCAACCGUAGUAAGCCUUUGAAACUGGGAAACUUGAGUGCAGGAGAGGAGAGUGGAAUUCCUAGUGUAGCGGUGAAAUGCGUAGAUAUUAGGAGGAACACCAGUUGCGAAGGCGGCUCUCUGGACUGUAACUGACACUGAGGCACGAAAGCGUGGGGAGCAAACAGGAUUAGAUACCCCGGUAGUCCCUGAGCGGG
rnacentral:rRNA from 1 species